rnacentral:tRNA from 1 species
AGCGAGGUGGGGCAGUCAGGAGUGCCCGUAAGGCUCAUAACCUUAAGGUCGGAGGUUCAAAUCCUUCUCCCGCUA